GCUGUAGCUCAGUGGUAGAACAUCUGCUCUGCAUGCAAAAGGGCCCAGGUUCAAUCCCUGGCAUCUGCA